GACGAACGCUGGCGGCGUGCUUAACACAUGCAAGUCGAACGGAAAGGCCCUGCUUUUGUGGGGUGCUCGAGUGGCGAACGGGUGAGUAACACGUGAGUAACCUGCCCUUGACUUUGGGAUAACUUCAGGAAACUGGGGCUAAUACCGGAUAGGAGCUCCUGCUGCAUGGUGGGGGGUGGAAAGUCUCGGCGGUUGGGGAUGGACUGGCGGCUUAUCAGCUUGGUGGUGGGGUAGUGGCUUACCAAGGCGUUGACGGGUAGCCGGCCUGAGAGGGUGACCGGCCACAAUGGACAGGAGACACGGGCGAGACUCGUACGGGAGGCAGCAGGGGGGAAUAGGGGAAAAGGGGCGCAAGCGUGAUCCAGCCAUACCGAGUGGGUGAAGAAGGCCUUCGGGGUGUAAAGACCGGUUGGUGGGAAAGAAAAGCAGCAGGCGAAGACCCCGCUGUGCGGACGGGAACCAAAGAAGAAGCACCGGCUAACUUCGUG
rnacentral:rRNA from 1 species